rnacentral:rRNA from 1 species
AACGAACGCUGGCGGCAUGCCUAACACAUGCAAGUCGAACGAGACCUUCGGGUCUAGUUGCGCACGGGUGCGUAACGCGUGGGAACCUGCCCUUAGGUUCGGAAUAACUCCCCGAAAGGGGUGCUAAUACCGGUUAAUGUCUUCGGACCAAAGAUUUAUCGCCUUUGGAUGGGCCCGCGUUGGAUUAGCUAGUUGGUAGGGUAAAAGCCUACCAAGGCGACGAUCCAUAGCUGGUCUGAGAGGAUGAUCAGCCACAAUGGGACUGAGACACGGCCCAGACUCCUACGGGAGGCAGCAGUGGGGAAUAUUGGACAAUGGGCGAAAGCCUGAUCCAGCAAUGCCGCGUGAGUGAUGAAGGCCUUAGGGUUGUAAAGCUCUUUUAGCCGGGAUGAUAAUGACAGUACCGGGAGAAUAAGCUCCGGCUAACUCCGUG